GGUAGGUGAAAUAAAAUGUUGCUACGCCAGUGAACUGCCUCAACAAGGCAUGCUUCUGUAAUUGCUUUGGAUGUGCAUGCUGGUUCCUCGAGUCAUCACAGGAUCCCAGCAGAGCCUGGCGCUGUAGGAGUACGCCUGCCAACCCCAGCUACACAACCCUACCUGCAGGGAAUACAGCUGUGUGCCAGUUGCAAUGGGCCGAUGGGCUGAUGUUGGGUGCGGAGUUCUGCACCUUGGACAGUGCCCAUGCUCGUGGAUCCUAAGGAACCUGCAGGAUGCUGGGACAGCCUUUGACCAGGAAGAUUUCCCCAUCUCUCCCCAAUGUCUUCCAGGCAAGCGAGAGAGGAGCUUAAUUCAUUUGAAGAAGCACCAAGUGUUUAAGACCCUUCCCUUUCGUAGUCCUAUUUCUGACGUCCCACUUCGUAUAAUCUGGACUCUAUUUUCAGUCUUUUUGUCUGCUCUGCUGUUCAUUUUGAACAGAAGAGCAAUGGGAGAACUGAGAUUUCCAGAGGAGGGCUUUACCAUGCCAUGCAUCUCUCCAGCGUUGACAGCAUCAGCGUGUCCUCUCGUAGAAGUGCUGUGAGUGAAUAGCUAUGGACUGGGAGUUAUUCAGAAACUAAAACACGACGGUUAAAGACUGAGAAAUUGCCUGAUGACGUGGCUUUCUGCUCUCAGGGCCAGAAAACAUAACACUUCCACGUGAUGUGAGCAGAUCUGUGGUUGAGAUACGUAAGGAAAAGGGAUGAAGAAUGAGCCAAGAGCAAAGCAGUCCUAUUAAGCUGUAACGUUGGAAAUAGGAAGGGACUCAAGCUGAGCUCCACCUUUAUACCUAAAUAUAAUGUUGCAGGCUCUCAAAAUCAGAAGCCUGGCACAGGGUGCUUUUGUAUAGGUACUGCCUGCCCCAUGGAGCUGAAAAUCUUGGCGCAGGAGCAGAGAGGGUCAUGAAGAGAUGGGAACAAGUUUGGCCAACAUGGUUGACAUCAACUACAGUGGCCCAACAGUCUGGCAGCUGUCAAUCAAUUUGGACUUCAGAGCAUGGAGAAGAGAUUUGGAAUGGUGGCAAAGUACAAGAUGCAUACCAAGAAUGUCCUCAUGGGCAUGAGGCAGUUUGGAAGAAAGUGUAGAAUAAGGAACAUCCUCCUUGGACACUCAGCAUGUCCUGGACAAUUGCAGAGCGGUCCUUCAGGCAACCACGGCACACAGUGCUGAGCUGUGAGGGCUGGGAAUGCCUUUUUUUGAAAGGCCAAAAUUCCUUCCAUAGGACACUGAGAAGCCUAAAGAAGAUGGCAUCCAGCAAGCCAUGGACUGCACAUGGAGGAAGACUUCUUUGGCGUGUGUGAAAAGGCUGUUUCACGGCCAAGGAGCUAUAGAGCUCCUUUCCACAUCUGUGGCAUGCAAAGGAAAGCCCGGUAUUACAGUGCAGAGCCCAAAAUGAAGGCUGGGAUCUGCAGUUGCUUUCCAGUGAUGCACAGCACAGUCCCUCCUGGAGGUAGACAAGCAAACCCUGCCUUCCGGAACUAGAGGUUUCUCUCUUUGGGACACCAGCAUCUCGUAUGUCAGCCUAGGAGAUGCAAAGACUAUAAGCUCACAGCAUGGGAGAAUGAGUAUCAUCUCAAAGUGAAUUCUGUGGAUUGACUGUAAAGCAGAGCCUUGACAUAAGAGGAACCCUGCAGAAGAAGUGGACACUGGAAGCUCAAGGGGAAGAGCCAGGAGAGCCGAGAGUGGCGUUCCCACCCAUGACCGCCGCGGAGCACAGCCUGACGCAGGGAUGGGAGACCCAAAGGGAUGCUGCGGUGCUGCAAAAAACAAGUGUGUAUGAUCUCCAAGUGGAAAACUUCUCUAAAAAUAAAUGGAUUACCCUUGCUCUGACGCUGUCUGAUGUCUGCGGAGCAGAUACCGCCGCUCGCCUGUGAUCUCCCACCCACCACAAUCGGGGUGACAGGCGUUGAGAUGUUGGCAAGUCACCUAAUCUCUCAGUGCCUCAGUUCCCCAUCUGUAAAAGGCAGAUAAUGGUGGUUCUUUUGUCUGCACUGUCUGCUUAGAUUUCUAAGUUUUUGAGGGCCAAGGAUGCUUCUUCAGGAGAGAGUUUACAGCACCUACCUCUGUAGGGGAAAUCGUACCGGAGCCUUCCAUGCUACAAAUGUGGUGAUCUAAGUGGAGAAGUGAUGGUAAACAUUGGCCACAGCUUCAUCUUAUACCUGCAAAUCCUCUUUCAUCCAAGGGGUAGGGGGCUCUGAGCCUGCUACAGACACAGCAUAUUCCUGACAAAGAGGAAAGAGUGGGGAGACCUCCAGGCUCUCCAAGGUACAAGCAAUGCUUUCGCUGGUCUGGCUCAAGUCCCCUCACUACAGCUUCUGCUUUGCCAUCAGCUCCAAGAUACUCUUAUGUGCAAGUAAUGCUUUGUGUGAUGAAGAGGGCAGGAUCUGAGGCAGCCCCUGUGCUGGCAAUUUGGAUAGCGGCUCUUCGACUCUGUUAUAUCUCCUCUCAUGGUGACCUCAUCUGGUUCCUGUAGGAUUUUGCCACUUGGCAGGACAAGCAGCAUUCUGACAGAUCUAUGCAUGAAAUCAUCAGCAUUUGAAAAUUCCAGCUAUAAGACAUGCAAUCAGGUUUCUCCUUAAUGACACCAGCUAUUCAACUACAUCAUACCUCCAGACCUUCAAGUGGCUUCUCAGAGAAUUUCAAGCCCAGUUCAUAGUCUGUUCUUUGUUGACAGAGUUCAACAAGCCCUGUGAGAAGGAGACUAGAGAAAUAUGAAAAAAACAUUCAAGACUCCACGAACAUCUUCAAGUACCUUGCUCCUUUGGACAGUGGAGCUGUCAUAUGUAUAGGUCAUAUCACAGAAACAUUAUAGAAUCAUAAAAUGGUUUGGGUUAAAAGGGACCUCAAAGACCAUCCUGUUCCAACCCCCUGCCAUGAGUGGGGUCAUGAACGACUAAAUCAUGCACCAGAUUAGGUUGCCCAGGUCCCCAUCCAACCUGGCCUUGAAUGCCUCUAGGGAUGAGGCAUCCACAUCUUCUCUGGAAAUCCCUAGGUGAGAGAUAAAACUUCCUUGGAAACCAGUCUAAGUGCAAAGAUGAGCCCUUGAGUAAGAAAUUACGUCCACGAAACUCACUUCCAUCUACUCCGAGUCCUUUCUUCAAGCUCACCUUCUUUUGUAUCUUAAUCACGCAGUGUAUGAACUCCCUUUCUCAAAAGAACCCAACCAAUCCAACAAACACCAGUGAAAGGGAAAGAAGCAAAGAACAAACAAUUUUUUCCAGUGAUGGGGACAACAUAAGAAGCAGUAUAAGAAGAGAACUGCAUAAGAAUGAAAAUCUAUGCUUAUGGUCUCAGUGCAAAUAUUACUUCUUAAGCCCCUGCCUGAUACUCAAAGCACAAAACCCAGCAGGGAGAGGGGUAAUGGAAUUUGGAGGCAACUGGUGUUCAAAGACCUCACUUGAAAUGGGCCUAUGCUAAUGCUGAGGGUCUGUGCAAAUUGGGUCAACUUCUCACAUAUUCCUAAAGGAGCAGCUUCAUCAGGAACAGUGGGCCUUGCAGAGCGCUAAUUACGGAUGAAACCAGUCUAAGCCUUUAAAAGAAAAGAAGGACGUACAGGAGGAAAUCCACAGCAUUUGACUGGACCUGCAGUUCCAAUUCAGGGAGGAAUUCCCUCUCCGUAGCUUCGUUGCCUUUCAUCUGACGGAUACUCCACGCGACAGCGCGUUUUAAGGCUUUAUCCUUACAGAACUAUCCCAAAAACGCACUUGUGCUGUACAAGGAAGAUUGCAACGUUCUCAAUUCAGCAUUUCCAAGUCGGAACCAAUUGAGCACAGCUACUUUCACAGGAGGAAGCACGGG